AAUGAAAUAGACACAACUACUUAUUAUCUACAACUACUGUUCCUUUGCAAUAUAGCACAAUGGAUUGCAAGAGUUCUUCGACAAAGUUUGCUUCUAUUAUUGCUUUCUUACUUUUUGCAUCUUUGUUCCAGAUGCUUAAUGCAAAUGAGGUUGUGAAGUCAAAUGAUGAGUUAAAUGUUCUACAACUUCCAGUAUCUGAUCAAGAGGCUAAACCAGCUGAAGCACUUGAUGGAGUGUUUCAAAUUUUCAUAACUCGAUAUGAUCGACAAUAUUCGAGUCGUCAAUGAAAAUUUGGCGGCUGUAUCGACCCUCCUCCUUGUGGAUCUGACAGCGAAUGUGCGAACUCAGCCUGCGGUCACAGGUGUGUGAAGAAUGGAUGGAAUUACCAUGUCUGUGGCAUGUGGUGAAAGUCUGCAAGAUGUGGCUCCAAAAUUGUAUGCCUUGGCACUGUCUUAUGGUUUCUAUCAGAAAAAUAAGUGUAUCUCAUAAAUUGAAUUUUUGAGACACUUCUUUCGUGUGUGAAUUCAGUAUUACUAUAUAUACAAUAUUUGGUCAAUGAGUACUUUUGGGCUAUGGUUUCUUCA